rnacentral:rRNA from 1 species
GAUGAACGCUGGCGGCGUGCCUAAUACAUGCAAGUCGAGCGAACAGACGAGGAGCUUGCUCCUUGGACGUUAGCGGCGGACGGGUGAGUAACACGUGGAUAACCUACCUAUAAGACUGGGAUAACUUCGGGAAACCGGAGCUAAUACCGGAGAACAUGUUGAACCGCAUUGGUCAACAGUGAAAGACGGUCUUGCUGUCACUUAUAGAUGGAUCCGCGCCGCAUUAGCUAGUUGGUACGGUAACGGCUUACCAAGGCAACGAUGCGUAGCCGACCUGAGAGGGUGAUCGGCCACACUGGAACUGAGACACGGUCAAGACUCCUAAGGGAGGCAGCAGUAGGGAAUCUUCCGCAAUGGGCGAAAGUCUGACGGAGCAACGCCGCGUGAGUGAAGAAGGUCUUCGGAUCGUAAAACUCUCUUAUUAGGGAAGAACAAAUGUGUAAGUAACUAUGCACGUAUUGACGGUACCUAAACAGAAAGCCACGGCUAACUACGUG